GCUAUUUAGGUUAGAGUUUGAUCCUGGCUCAGAUUGAACGCUGGCGGAAUGCUUUACACAUGCAAGUCGAGCGGCAGCGCGGGGCAACCUGGCGGCGAGCGGCGAACGGGUGAGUAAUGCAUCGGAACAUGUCCAUGUCGUGGGGGAUAGCCCGGCGAAAGCCGGAUUAAUACCGCAUACGCCCGAGAGGGGAAAGCGGGGGACCGCAAGGCCUCGCGCGAUUGGAUUGGCCGAUGUCCGAUUAGCUAGUUGGUGGGGUAAAGGCCCACCAAGGCGAUGAUCGGUAGCUGGUCUGAGAGGAUGAUCAGCCACACUGGGACUGAGACACGGCCCAGACUCCUACGGGAGGCAGCAGUGGGGAAUUUUGGACAAUGGGGGAAACCCUGAUCCAGCCAUUCCGCGUGAGUGAAGAAGGCCUUCGGGUUGUAAAGCUCUUUUGUCCGGAACGAAACGGUGGACGUGAAUAUCGUCCAUUACUGACGGUACCGGAAGAAUAAGCACCGGCUAACUACGUGCCGCC
rnacentral:rRNA from 1 species